GCGGACGACCCAUCCCCCACCAUGCCAGGAUUUCCAGGUCACACGGUCAGGAUCUGUCAGCUGCUCAGAAGGUAGCUUCUAGCAGGAAGCUGCAGAUGUGGCAGACAAAAGACUUUACCUAGUUCGGAAGACUCCACCCUCCACGAGCUAGCUACGCGGCAAACCUGGUCUGAACCAGCCUGCUCAAGGCUGUGGGGAGGGCACUGUAACUCAACCCCUCUUUGCCUUAAAAGGUUAAAUACAAUGUUGCCCUCUGAUAGGAAGUUCCACUCCUGGUAUACACACAAGACAAAGAAAAGUGAGUCCACAUUAAAAAAAAAAAAAAAGUCCAACUGCAGAACUCAGCGUUAUCUGUCAACAUCUGUGCUUUUCUAGGUCAGUCCCAGGUCCUGAAUAAAGAUGCAGAGGUUUAUUUAGUUAUGAAUUAACGCUUAGGCCUUCAGUUAGGCUCAUUCCCCAACUAACUAAUAACUCAAGUAACUAUUCUAUGUCUGCCAUGUGGCUGGUUACCCCGCCUCAAUUUCAUAUGUCCACUUUCCUCCGUCUAGGUGACGAAUCCCUAAGACCCGACUCUGCCAGAAUUCCUGUCUCUUCCUGGAAGUCCUGCCACUUCUCUACUCCCUCGCUGUAGGCCUUUUAGCUCUUCAUGGGAAUCCUAUUUUCUGGCUGGAAACUCCCUAUACAGACCAGGCUGGACUUAAUCUUGCA
rnacentral:lncRNA from 1 species